UACUUGCACUCCAAAAUUCUGGAAUGAUGGAUCUUUCAAUUUGUGUCUCUGCUUCGUCUUCACCCUCAAUUUGUGUCUCUGGAAGUUCACCUGCUUCUCCCUCUUGCCCUAAUUUUCUUCAAAUUUUUACCAGUUUUAUGGCUUAAAAUUCAUUGCUAUUGUCAGAAUAUUCAUGAACUCUCUCUUCAAUGUUCUUUGGCUUUUUUUCCAUUAUGUGCUGCUUCUUCCGAUUUUCUGGUAUUUUUCAUCUCUCUCCGUGCUCUUCGUCCUCUUUUCUCGAUCUUGCUGGGGAUAUAAAAUGACACAGCGACUUGGUAUAUAUGCAAUCACUCCUGAAAUACCAGACUGGACCUGUAAAGUGCAAGUUGUGGAUAUAUGCAAACCAGGAGAAGGUUCUCACCAUAAGAUAAAAUAUUUGAACAUGAUCUGCAACAUUGAAAAUUUUGGUUUCUUCAUAUUCAAAAUCUGCAGUGUUCUAAGACCUACUCUUCUAUCAUUCAGGAGCUGAAAAGCUCCUGGGAGAUAUUCUGCUAUAUUGCUCAGAUUAUGUUGCAAUGACACGUUCUGUUAGCUCACGAGGCAACUUGAGGAGUCUUCUGAGCCUAUGCAAGGGAGAGUGCAAUUUCUGGUAGAUCACCCAAAUCUCAUCAACUUAUUGAAUGUUGUGGCGCUGACCAGGAAAGAGGUUUCUGGAGGUAACCUGUGUAUGAAUUCAUGUCAAAUAGAAGCCUAGACAAUCAUUUUUCAGCAGUGUCUUUCCUGCUCUUUCGUGGCCAAGAAGACUGCACAUAGUGCUUGGGCAGCUUGAGGCCGAUUUAUUUACACGAAGAAUUGUGAGUUUAGGUAUUUUAUUUGAAUAUCUUCUCCUAAUUUCACUAAUAAAAUUUUUAGUGUAUAAACUUUUAACCAGAUUUUCUCUUCACUAUGUAACCCUAUUGGUGUUGCCAUUGCAUGCACUAACGGACCUACUAAUUGCAUCAACCGGUAACAAAGAGAACUGAAAUGGAUGACGAGUAAGGAUGAGUUCUAAUUAUGAUGUUUACCUGCAAGAGAAACAAUUCAAAACCACUAGAGGUCAGAGUUUCAGUUGAGAGAAAAUCUGAGAUCAAAUGUUGGCCGGUAGUGUAGAUUGCGUCUAGAUAUUACUCCCUCUGUCCCAAUUUUUUCGCUUUCCCAGAUUCAAAUUGUAUGAACUUUAACCAACAUUUUAAGAUAUUUUUCGCCAAAUUGAUAUGAGAGAAGUUGUAACUUAUAGUAGCUUUCAUGUAGUUUUCAAAUAUAUAAGUUUUAACUUAAGAUAUUGAGUUAAUCUAAUACAAUUUAGCUUCAAAAUUUAGUCAAAUUAACUCUUAAAAAGCUAAAAGUAUGACAUAAAUUAGGACGGAGGGGCAGAGGGAGUACCUAAUAGCACUCUGGUGAAAUAUCAGAGAGAAUUUAUGUGAUAUUUUUCGCUUUCCCAAAUUCAAACUGUAUAAACUUUAACCAAUAUUUUAAGAUAUUUUUUCGCCAAAUUGAUAUGAGAGAGAGAAGUUGUAACUUAUAGUACCUUUCAUGCAGUUUUCAAAUAUAUAAAUUUUAACUUAAGAUAUUGAGUUAAUCCAAUACAAUUUGACUUCAAAAUUUAGUCAAAUUGACUCUCAAAAAGCGAAAAGUAUGACAUAAAUUGGGACGGAGGUCCAGAGGGAGUACCUAAAUAGCACUCUGACGAAAUAUCAGAGAGAGCUUAAGAUACAAUAUUGAGUUGAUAAUUACAUGGCCAACUUAGCAUUUUGAAUUAGAUGAAUCUCACUUCUGGAAGCAUAGUUUGAGUGAUCAGAACUCUAUGAAAGAGUUUAAUUGCUUAACCUUCAUAGUUUUGCUUCUGAUUAUCUUCGUUUGAUAUCCUUAAAACAUUUAAUGUGGGAUGAAAUUUGCUGCUGAAGGUGAAGAAUCAAUCAAAUGGCUUUAGGAUUCAUGCUAAAAUGUUUCUUCAUGAAGUGUUAUCAUAAAUGUUUCUGUAUAUUUCCCCCAUCUUCUUGCUAAAUAUAUCUAUUUGCUGACACUGGUUUAGAGAUUUAGUUUACUACAUUGAAUUUAUUUCUAGCAUCCAGGGAAAAUAUCCACAUUAUCAAAAAAAAAAAAAAAAAAAAAAAAAAAAAUUCUCUAUAAUUAUUUCCCGUAUUUCAGUAAAAAUAGUAUCUUUCCUAGCUUUUGAACCUUAUCGGUAGUUUCAGAUCAAAUUUCAGAGGGUAUCUAUGUGUUUUGAGGAUAUACAUUAUGAACCCUUCCUCACAAGUCUUCAUGAAGUUGUGCAUACUAAUUGAUUUUUUAUCUUGGUUACAGUUUAUUUAGUUAAUCUUGGAAUUCCAUUAUUUGCUUGGACUAUUAGCUGGAAUUUUGUAUGCAUCUUACGAAACUUAUUCUCAUUGGGCCACCUUCUUACAGUGUAAACUUCAUUGGUUAAAUAUAAUACAUUUACCAAAAAAAUUUAAGCGGAGAAGGGUUGUGGAGCAGGACCAUUAUCCCAUCAAAUUUUGAAUCAUGCGCCUCUUGUCCUCUGAAAUUUCUCGAUUAUCUAAAGAAUAUAAAUACAGUACUGGUUCGGAAGCAUGAAACGUGAAUUCAAAUAAUGCAGGGGGUAUCCAUCAUCAGGUUAACAACUUGACCAAACAAGUGACACUUGUGUCUCUGCACCAUACAUCCAAAAUUUCAUUUAGCUUGACACCAAGCUCAGUCCCCUUCACCCACACUCCCAGUCAGUAUUGACUCAAUUGCCCAUAAAAGAUGGAGCUUAUGACUGUAGGAGGACUUAAUAUAUCGAACAAGUUAUUGUCUGUAGAAGCCAUGCUCGGUAACUGAAGAGCUGAUUGAUGGAUUUAGAGAUGGAGAAUUAUUGUUCGUUCUCUAGGUUUUCCCUGCUCUGUGCUCUUAUCUUUACGUGGUAAGGUGGAUUACAGAUGAUGUGGAGAUUCCCUUUUUACAACGGAAAGAAGGAAGUGACAACCCAGCAGAAGCAGAUGUCGUAAAGUGUAAGAAAGGUGAAUCAAAAGCUAUGAAACAGGAACUCAAGACAUUAUACAUAUGAUGUUUGUGGUCAACUGCACCUCCUUUUGUCAUGAAACGAACUGAAGAAUAUAGGCAGCAAGCUUUACAUUGUUGGAAGUACAUAUUCAUGAUCUUUUAGAUAUCUUGUACACCUUUGUUCCUCAAUGUAUCUAAUGCUAUAUAGUAUGAAGCGUUGAUAUUGUGAACAUUUGAUCA